GCAGCAGCAGAGUGGCACCUUCCUGAGAUCAAACGACCACACUUUGAUAAGGAGAACACAGAGAUGAAUGGAAGGAAACUUUGCACCUCCUCUCCCUGCUCUGUACAACCUACGUACGAUGGUACCGGCGUUCUUCUGCCGUCUUCAUGUCUUUCAACUUGUGAAGAUCUUCAUUGUGAUGAGACCAUUCUCUUUUGUAUGACAGGUUUUCCGGCUUUCUAACCUGUCUUAGAAAGAAAUGAUGCAAUCCUUGGAAAGUUACUCCUGAUCUGAGCCUCAUGAAGUUGGUGGCAAAGUGACACUGGGUCAGAUGAGAUCAGAUCCUCCCCAAAUACCCCUAUGACUGUAGACACAGCUCCAGCUCUUAUUUCAACUGGGAAUUCUUUUAUGCACAAAGAUGCACGGUUUCACAGAGAUACUAGGCUGAUAGGAAAAAUCUAGAAAAAUCUAGAUUUCUUAUGAGUUCAUCCCUAUUGUACAUGAAUGAGAAGUUCUGAGUCCGUCUGUGAUCAGGCAGUGAGUCAGUCAGCUGAAUGGCAUGAAGAAUGAGCAGGCUCAUCACAGCCCUCAGCCUGCCCUCAAGAGCCCAGCAGCCAGGACUGCUUUAUUCUCAGUGUAAUAAAACCAGAUUCGCACUGAAAGAGAGAGAUGAAGUUUCCCUUGGAGACCAGGUGGAGACCAGGUGGUGGAGUGGAUGCUUCUGUUGUUGAACUGAAGAGUUUCUCAUCAAGGGGAAGGAGCUGUUUGCAAAACUGCACUGGAAAAUGUUGGUUUAACCUCUUAGGGCCGAUUCAGAAAAAAAUCUUUUUUUUUUUUCUUCUGUUUUUUUAAUGAAAAAGUAAAUGAAAAAUAUAGUUAGAAGUGAAUCGUUUAGAAUGAGUAAAAUGUGUCACUUAGUUUGAAAUAGAAAGCAUCCUUUCACUUGCCAGCACUUAAACAACAAAUCCAGGUACAUUUUGGAAUGGUGCACUGUUUCAUGUAAAAAUGUUAAAAGAGAAGGCUUUGAUUUGCUUACAUUUUAAGAAUGAAACGACUCAAGUUGAACUCAUAAAAUGGUUCAGUUGACUCAAAUCUGUUUUCUUCAGAGCAUAAUGUUUUAUCCACCUCUCCCCCAGCAUAGCAGUACAUCCCAGAAAUGUUCUGUACAGCAUCAGAACAGGGCCCCAAUCCUUUCUUAAGCACCUGUGAGCCCUACUCAGUGGCUUUGCUCUCCAUCACACGUCAGAUGUAUGUUACUUGUGCAAUUCACAAGUUUCAGGUCUGCUUUUCUUUCACCGCUCACAAGGUUCAGCUUCACCAGGCUGUGAUUCCCUGCUAGCCUUGUUGGAUGCUGGAAGGAAUGCCGGCAGACUUUCUGGUGCUGCUAAAAGCCCUCAGGCCAGGCUGGCAGAUAGCAGCCCUCUUAUUUGUUUGUCUAAAUAAGCACAGAGCGUGAUGGGCAAGCUAUCAGGGGAAAAUCAAAUUGGUGGGGAUGUAGCUUCAAGGGAAUUACUGCUUCUGAUGCACCGCUUUUAAAAACAUAUAAAAAUUAACAGUCGGUGGCUAAAGCCAGAAACUGCAUUUCAGGACUGGCAGUGAUGUUUCCAACAGAACAUUUCAACUGAAAAGAUCCUAAGCUAUAGCAUAUGAUAAGCACACAGCCCAUUCUAGAAGCCUGUUUAGCCCAGAAGUGAAAGCAGAGUGAAAGUGCAAGUGACUCCAGGUGUGUGAUUAAAAGGAACUGAAAACAAUGAAAUGGCUCCACAUUGUGAAAACUUAAAUAUAUAUACCCAUAUCUGUGUGCUGUGCGUGCUUGAGAAGAAAGUACAGAGAAUCUGAAAGCUUUUAGCAAACUCAUAAAACCAGACACUGUAGGAAAUGAACUUGUUCCAAAAAGAAAAGCUACUUUUAGAAAUACAGCUCCAUGUCUGGCCACAAAGUAAUUAAGGUUCUUAAAGCUUUCCUGUCCAGAUGAGUGACUGGCACAAAAAUAAGAAUAACAGUACAGUAAUAACAGCGGUGACUUGUCACUGUAGGGAAUAGGCAGCAGUAAACAACUUCCAGUGGGAGGGUGAGAGAAAAGGGGUAGGAGUGUGCAUGGCGAGGGGUCGUGGUGUGUGUGCCCCUUUGAGGUAUGGGAGAGGAGAACUCAGACUGCUUGCCAAAGCAAUGCGAAACAUCUUGUCUUAGGGUUCAAUUCAUAAAAAGAAUAGAACUGAGUCAUAUUCUUUCCACUAUUCAGUGUGUGUGUGACACAAGAUGCAAAUUCCACGUGUGAUUCAUAGAGAAAGAUGUCAGUUUUGCAGAAGCACACGAGUCUGAGUGCUGCUUCAGGUCCAGACUGAGCCGCUGCGGAAAACUGGCUCUUCUUCUCUCAGCAUCCAAAGGCAGAACCCAGAGACCUGGCCCAGACAGCACUCACCCACCUCCUGCAGUGUGAUUACCAGUUUCCAUUCUUUUUAGCAUGAGUGGAAGGAACUUGUCAUGUUACAGAACUGGGUCUGCAAAACUCAUCCAGUUCAAGUGGAGUUUUCCAUGAACACCAGCGGGCAUCGGACCAAGCCGUGGAGGACAAAAAAAAAAAGGUUCAAAUAUGAGCAGAGCUCAACAAAUCGCAGAGCAUCUUUUCCCAAACAUCUGCUGAACUUUUGAUACCUCCAUUCAGAAUGCACUUGUGCCAUCUGAAAGUAGAAAACUAGAGAAACUUCAAGUCCAAGUAAGAUGGCAUCACCCAAAGGCCGGUGGUGCGAAACUGACAGUCCCACGGAUGGUUCUGUUCUGUGCUGAUGCUGAGCUCAGGCUGACGUGCAGUACAGUUGCACUGCUUCCUUUCUGCAUUGGAGGUUCCUUUCCUUAGAUCUCACUUCGUUCCCUGCCUCAGUGGGAGACACCACUCAGUCACUGUCUGCAGCUCUGGAGAUGCAUGAGAAGCUUGGGUGGUUUUCUUCCUUGAACCGACUCAUUCAGAGUAAAAAGGAUCGUGGCAAAUCUAGUCACUGUGGAUCCAGAAGUAAAUCAGGCAUAGUACCUCUAUUCAUGUGAAGUUUGGAAAAUGCUCUCAGUAGAAUUACUGCAUUGAUUGUUGCUAUUUCAGAAAACCUAUGCAAAUUCUGUGAAAAUACAUAGAGUUAGUAAUGGAAAAAUACUAAUAAAGGAACUCUUUCAGAUCUAACUUGGCCUAAAAUUUAGGCUUUGUAAUAGCAAGCUGCAACAAAACUUGUAUUUCCAUGACAUUUUGUUUUAAAUUCCAAUGCGGAGGAGGGAGAAAAGUUUGAACAAAGAUUCUCUGUAGUCCUUGCUUUGUGAGGAAAGACACGAAGCCUGAGAAUCUCACAGAGUGACUUAAAGCUUCUCUGGGUGAAUGCUGUCAGGAGUUUCUGUUCAUCAGAACAUGUGCUGCUUCUGUGCUCUCUUCAGCAGCCCAGCCAGGACACUGCUUUAAGGGCACUGAUGGCCCAGCAGAGCCCAGCAGAGCCCAGCAGAAUUUCUCAGGGCUCACUCUGAGAUUUCCUGGCUGCUGUCUGGGCACACUUGCCCAAACCCUGGACAUCCAGCAGCCUGCUUCUUGGGAGCACUCCAGGUGGCCAAGGGCCAGGGUUCAGGCAGAGCCUCACUGAAGUCAGCCGAGUGCCUUAGCACAGGUGCUCAACCCAGCUUUCAUGGUCCCUCCUUUGGAUGGGGUACCUUUCCUAAGCUCUGCAUUGAGGCAGUAAGAAGUGGAGAGUUACCUGUGGCACAGAGCAUUUGUAAACCUUGAAAAAUGAAGUCAGGUUGAUUGAUGCAAUGAAACAGGAGCACGAAACGUAAGGACUAUGGCUCCCACCUACAUGUACACAGCCUCAGGCUGGGAGACUUGCUUCAUGGUAUGACACACGAAUGUUUUCCAUAGUUAUUGCAGUCCUCGCUAAAUAUUUCAGUUAAUCCAAGCCCCAAUUUUCUGUCCCAGAAAGGGGGAGGGAAGAGAAAUUCUGGCAAGUCUCGAACAUUAUUCCUACAGUCUAAUAUCAUAGCAUAGGUAUAUUAGGAGAUCAAUAUUGCUAGCAAAGAUAUAAUGCAAUACAACAUUAUUUCAUUGUGAAAAGGAGCUUGGCUUUUCUGGAGCUUCUGGUUAUUUCCUGCUGAAAACCUCAUAGCAACAAUUGGCGUAAUGCACUGGGAUGAUCUUCUUACACAGAAAACAUCUCCACAGUUGAGUCCUCCAAAGGGCAACAUCUUUACAAGUACCACCACGAAAUGUAUGGUCAGGGUUUGCGUUAGCAACAUUUAAAAAGUAUUUUCUAGCAUUUAUUUGGCAGCGAUACAAAGGACUUCCAAUAAGUGCCCACGUCUCUCUGUACUGGCGCAGAACCCCCAGAGGAAGGCACUGCGGGGGCCCCCAGUCAGCACUUAGUUUAGUCUGGGGUUGCUCCACCCAAAACAUCCUUGAACCUCACAAGAGAACAUUUCAAGGACACUUUUAGCAGA